rnacentral:rRNA from 1 species
AACGAACGCUGGCGGCAGGCUUAACACAUGCAAGUCGAACGCAUCCUUCGGGAUGAGUGGCAGACGGGUGAGUAACGCGUGGGAAUUUACCCAGCUCUACGGAACAACUCAGGGAAACUUGAGCUAAUACCGUAUACGCCCUUUUGGGGAAAGAUUUAUCGGAGUUGGAUGAGCCCGCGUUUGAUUAGCUAGUUGGUGGGGUAAAGGCCUACCAAGGCGACGAUCAAUAGCUGGUCUGAGAGGAUGAUCAGCCACACUGGGACUGAGACACGGCCCAGACUCCUACGGGAGGCAGCAGUGGGGAAUAUUGGACAAUGGGCGCAAGCCUGAUCCAGCCAUGCCGCGUGAGUGAUGAAGGCCCUAGGGUUGUAAAGCUCUUUCAACGGUGAAGAUAAUGACGGUAACCGUAGAAGAAGCCCCGGCUAACUUCGUGCCAGCCGCCGCCGUAACAC